ACUCACUCAAUUCUUUGUUGCAAACGUUAAUAAAAUCAGAGGGAGAAAAGCUUGUUGCCAUUAUUAUGAUCAGGAAUUUUCAUACCCACGCAAAUGACGCAGUCUACGUGGGUGUUUUGCUUGCAUAGCUAUUUCAGAUGGAGAAGAGUCAGCACUCUUGUAAUAAUGUUUCAUUUGAAUUUCUAUUUCAGAGAGUGAUUUGAUACAUUUCACCUUUCAAUUUCCAUAGUCCGUGGCUCCGUGCUACAACACACACGCUGUCACUGGCAGAACAUAAUGAUAAGUUGUCUGUUUUCAAUAAGAAAAUCAAAAAAUAUAACUUGUUAUAUUCAAGAUAUUCAAGAGCUGAAGUCCCACACUCCAAUAGAACAUGUUGAUUAUGCAGCACUGUCUGAAAUAGGAACUGAAUUGGCACAAAGGUGUGACAGAUGAAAAGUCCUAUUCUGAAAACAUUCGUAACGUCCUUAAAAUAGAGUCCAAGAUAGAAGGAGGUUGCCCUGUUUUGUUAGACAAGGAGCAGGCAUUAGUUAGAAAGGGUAUUCUCUGUAUCUGGAGACAGGAUGAUAAACUGCUCACUUUCUCCAGAAAGACAAGAAGGAGGCAGAACUAUUGCUUCCUGUUUUCAAAGCAUUUCCUAGUGACACAGAGAGUAGAGAAGAAAGGAGAAGAGGGAUACCGUCUGUUGAAAGAGAAUGGGUUACUGUCACUCGCUAAAUGUAGGAUACAUGAAUAUGCCCUCCCUGAGUAUCCAGAGUUACGUUUUCUCAGUUUUGGUCUUGAGAUUGAUGAUGGUUCACAGAGUCAGUCCAAACAGAAGUUGAUAUUUAUUGCAAUGUCAGUGGCAGAGAAGGCACAGUGGAUAGCUGAUAUUGC